rnacentral:lncRNA from 1 species
CUAAACUUUGGCGAUCAGCUGAAAUGGGUGAUUGCCAAACGAAAUCUAUCGCCAACUGCUUGGAUGCCCGCUUUUUGAACGUGAUUGAAAAUGGCGAAAAUGUUUGAGCUGGACGUACUCGGAAUGAUUAAGCAAUGAAACGAAUUCGCUAGCCAUCAGUCUGUUACUGUCUGAUCGGAAAAACCAGAAUUAAGUUUGCAAGUUGUGUGGUAUAAGAGACAGUC